AGGUAUUGAAAUAAGAUUUUAAUUGAAUGCUAAGAGAAUGGAAUUUCAGAAAAAUACUUUUUUUUAAUUAAAAAUUGAAGUUUUUUUAAUUUGUGAAGAAACAAUUAUAAAAAUUAAAGACAAGAAGACCCUAUGAAUUUUUUUUUAAAAUAUUGUAAGUUUAUAUAAUAUUUUAUAUUAAUUGGGGCGAUUAAAAAAUAUUAAAAACUUUUUUUAAUUAAUAUGAUCCAUUAUUAAUGAUUAAAUGAAUAAAUACUCUAGGGAUAACAGCGUAAUAAUUUUUGAUAGUUCAUAUAGACAAAAUAGUUUGCGACCUCGAUGUUGGAUUAGGAUACUUUUUUAGUGAAGAAACUAAAAAAAGAAG
rnacentral:rRNA from 1 species